UAAAUCCUUCAUACAUUGAUACAUCAAGAAGAAAACUCAAAAGUAGAAGAAGAGGCAAAAGGACAGAGAGAGAGAGAGAGAGAGAGAGAGAGAGAAGUCUCAGUUUUGCUUCAGCACUCCCACCCCCCACCCCCACCACCCAGUUUUCAGGUUUCACCGAAGUCAAGCCUGUUGUGUUGCUUCUCGGAAUCUCCAAAGAUGACAAAGGGAAUGGCAAUGUCAACUACUAUUUCAAUUUUUGGGAAAGAGAUCAAUUUAGAAGCUUGUGAAAGAAAUAUCCGUUCAGAAGGUGAAUCUAUCAAUAAGUUGGAUGAUGACGCGCUCAUUCAAAUACUUUGUUGUUUAUCCCUUAAAGAUGCAGCAAGAACAAGUGUCCUUUCACGUAGAUGGAGGUACUUAUGGCGCCGCUCACUCAUGCACCCAUUGAAUCCUAUGUAAAUUUCCCAUCAAAAAUCGAAUGCAAGUAUCGUGGCCCGUAAAUGAAUAUUGAGAUGAUAUUUAUAGAACAAAUGUUGUGAAGAUCAUAGAGAAGGUUGUAAAAAAAAAAAAAAAAAAAAUUCAAAGAGAAGGCAGAAGAAGAUAGCAAAGUUACUAUUAGCAGAUCCACAUGAAGAUGUUCAUAGCAAAGAUCCUUUUUGCUGUGCAUUGGUUCAUGGCAAAGAUGUUGUAUUUCCUUUUCUUUUUCACCCUUUAAAGUUGAUGUGACCUUUAGUUUAUGGAAUUACAUGAAAAUGUCAUCAAAAGUGUUCCUCCAA